UAAUACGAGGGGGGCAAGCGUUGUCCGGAAUCAUUGGGCGUAAAGGGUUCGUAGGCGGACUGAUCAGUUGGAAUUGAAAGACCACGGCUUAACCGGGGGAACGAUUUCAAUACUGUCAGUCUUGAGUGAGGUAGAGGUAAGCGGAAUUCCUGGUGUAGCGGUGAAAUGCGUAGAUAUCAGGAGGAACAUCAAAGGCGAGGGCAGCUUACUGGGCCUAUACUGACGCUGAGGAACGAAAGCGUGGGGAGCAAACAGGAUUAGAGACCCUGGUAGUCCACGCCGUAAACGAUGAGUACUUAGUGAUGGGGGAUUCGACCCCUUCAUUGCUGGAGCUAACGCAUUAAGUACUCCGCCUGGGAACUACGACCGCGAGGUU
rnacentral:rRNA from 1 species